UACGGGGGGGGCAAGCGUUGUUCGGAAUUACUGGGCGUAAAAGGGCUCGUAGGCGGCCAACUAAGUCAGACGUGAAAUCCCUCAGCUUAACUGGGGAACUGCGUCUGGAUACUGGAUGGCUUGGAUCCGGAAGAGGGAUGCGGAAUUCCAGGUGUGCGGUGAAAUGCGUAGAUAUCUGGAGGAACACCGGUGGCGAAGGCGGCAUCCUGGGCCGGUAUUGACGCUGAGGAGCGAAAGCCAGGGGAGCAAACGGG
rnacentral:rRNA from 1 species